rnacentral:lncRNA from 1 species
AUAGAUUGAUUUUGAUGAUCACAAAAACUUGAAGUAUAGAUACUAAUGUUUAUGUUGCAAGGAGAAAGAUAUUUAUUUUGCAAGGAACAUAGCAAGUUGGAAGAACACAAGAAGGCCUCCAAAGCUCUCAAGUUGGAAGAAAGCUACAAUUUAUUGGCCCAAGCUUAAAGUUCAAAGGAUUCAAUUUGGAAGAGUAAAAUCAAAGAAAAAAUUCAAAAGAAUAGUCUUCGAGUCGACUCCUGAGGAUUUCGAGUCGACUCCAAUGUUU